ensembl:snRNA U6 U6 spliceosomal RNA
GUGCUCGCUUCGGCAGCACGUUGCCUAAAACUGGAAUGAAACACAGAAAACUGGCAUGGCCCCGUAUGAGGAUGAGACACAGAUUUGUGAAGAACCCUUGAUAUAU